UACAGAGGGUGCGAGCGUUGCUCGGAAUCACCGGGCGUAAAGGGUGCGUAGGCGGGGCUUUAAGUCAGGGGUGAAAUCCUGGAGCUCAACUCCAGAACUGCCUUUGAUACUGAGGAUCUUGAGUUCGGGAGAGGUGAGUGGAACUGCGAGUGUAGAGGUGAAAUUCGUAGAUAUUCGCAAGAACACCAGUGGCGAAGGCGGCUCACUGGCCCGAUACUGACGCUGAGGCACGAAAGCGUGGGGAGCAAACAGG
rnacentral:rRNA from 1 species